UACGAAGGGGGCUAGCGUUGUUCGGAAUUACUGGGCGUAAAGCGCGCGCAGGCGGCUAUCCAAGUCAGUGGUGAAAGCCCGGAGCUCAACUCCGGAACUGCCGUUGAAACUGUUUAGCUUGAGGACGAGAGAGGUGAGUGGAAUUCCCAGUGUAGAGGUGAAAUUCGUAGAUAUUGGGAAGAACACCGGUGGCGAAGGCGGCGACCUGGUCCUUAACUGACGCUGAGGCGCGAAAGCGUGGGGAGCAAACAGG
rnacentral:rRNA from 1 species